GUUCGCGAGCUGUGGCCAUCGGUACCUGGCCGGCCACACGGCAACCCGUCAUCGACCGGGUGCCCCAGGGGAAGAACGGGCCCGUGCCGACCGCUCGGGCAAGCUUCGAUC
rfam:Brevibacterium linens strain AE038-8 ctg30, whole genome shotgun sequence.